AUGCGCCCCCCUGUACACUUCGGUUCCUGCGCGCUGUCCGCCUCCACCCGACAGCGACUGGCGAGGUUUCGUUAGCC
rfam:Xanthomonas albilineans GPE PC73 complete genome